ACCCGUAUACAUUCUUCAAUUAAAUCAAUUCUAGGGCUUUCGCUCUGUGAUGUGAAAAAAUGAAUCCUUGCCGAAAUCUAUUAAGUGAGUUCGAUUGCAGCGAAGAUGUUACUGAUAACAAUCGGGAUCUAUCACCAGGCAAGAAUGAUGAGAUACAAAUUUCCAGUGAAGAAACAUUUACUGAUAUGAAAGAUAUAGAGAAUAUUAAUUCACUUGAUGGAGAAGAACUAAACGGUGAAGUAAUUGCAGCAAAUGGUGCGAAAGAACCAUCGGAAGAAGAACUAAAGGUUGUCCGCCCAUACGUCGGAAAAGAAUUUGAAUCUCAAGAUGAAGCAUAUGAUUUCUAUAACAGGUUUGCAGGUAAAACAGGAUUCAGUAUUCGUUGGCACUCUACCAAUAAGUCUAGGGUUGAUCCUUUUGAAGUGAUAGGGCGUACAUUUUGUUGUUCAUUUCAAGGAUUGAGAGACCGUAGAGCUAAGCCUGUUGAACAAAGGAAAAGGCAGCAAGCAGAUGUGAGGACAGAUUGCAAGGCAGUGAUGAUGAUAAAGAAGAGAAACGAUAGAUGGGUUGUGUCUGGUGUUGUAGAAGAACACAAUCAUAAACUUGUUUCCCCAAGUAAAAGGAACAAUCUCCGGUCAUUGAGAAAAAUAAAUAGUAGCCAAAAACAACAAAUCGUGAACUUUAGACUAGCAGGCGUUAAAACAAAUCAAUUGAUAAACUAUUUGGAAGUUGAGAAUGGUGGAGUGAAGAACAUUGGGUUUCUUCCAAAAGAUGCUAGAAAUUAUUUGAGUACAAGAAGGCAGUUGGAGCUAAAACAUGGAGAUGCUCAAGCUGUACUAGACUACUUCGAACGCCAGCAAAUGGAAAAUCCAUCAUUUUUUUAUAAAAUUCAAGUUGAUUCAGAAGGCCAAAUGACUAAUUCUUUUUGGGCAUAUGCUAAGUCAAGGAUAGACUAUUACUAUUUUGGAGACAUCGUUUGCUUUGAACCUACUUAUAGCACAAAUAGAUAUGACAUGCCAUUUGUUUCGAUAGUAGGAAUCAAUCAUCAUCAUCAAAUUGUUUUAUUUGGUGGCGCUCUCCUUUAUUCCGAAAGUGAAGACUCGCUUGAGUGGGUAAUGAAAACAUGGAUGAGGGCAAUGCACGGCAAAACACCAAAGGUUAUACUUACAGAUCAAGAAUCAGCUAUUGGGGGAGCGAUUGCAAGUGUUUUGCCAGCAAUUGCUUAUAUGGGUAAGAGACAGUUGAACAAUUUGAGCAUGGUUGGACAACGAUGCUUGAGAAUCACGAACUGCAGAACAAUAAGUGGUUGAUAAAGAAAAAUCGGAAAAGCAAAGAUUCUUUCAGAGAAAUAAACAGCCAACCCGAAUCUCUCCAUGUCCACACAGUCCAACAAGUUCGUGCAGCAAGUGGAAGCAUCAGCGUGCAACUAACAAGCAUGUCUCUAAGUUAGGCGCAAAGAUAAUUAUGUAUGGUCAUGAAGCAAUGAGUAGUUAGUUUUUCUUUUAGAUCAAAAAUUUUCGUUGAUAACAUUCAAAUCUACUCAAACUAAUUGUGCACAUUUGAAUUAGUUGGCAAGCAUUUUGGUUUAUUUUAUGAAAUACAUUUGCAUCUGUUAAAUUUGCAUACUCUAAUCAGAGCCAUUUGCAUACUCUAAUCAGAGCCAUGUACUGCUACUAAAAUUACUAAGAUUAAUGUCACCUGUGAGGCUGUGAUGGUA